rnacentral:rRNA from 1 species
CCUACGGGUGACUGCAGUGAGGAAUAUUGGUCAAUGGGCGCGAGCCUGAACCAGCCAAGCAGCGUGAAGGAUGACUGCCCUACGGGUUGUAAACUUCUUUUAUAAAGGAAUAAAGUGAGGCACGUGUGCCUUUUUGUAUGUACUUUACGAAUAAGGAUCGGCCAACUCCGUGCCAGCAGCCGCGGUAAUACGGAGGCUUCGAGCGUUAUCCGGAUGUAUUGGGUUUAAAGGGUGCGUAGACGGGUUGUUAAGUCAGUUGUGAAAGUUUGCGGCUCAACCGUAAAAUUGCAAUUGAUACUGGCAGUCUUGAGUACAGGUGAGGUAGGCGGAAUUCGUGGUGUAGCGGUGAAAUGCUUAGAUAUCACGAAGAACACCGAUUGCGAAGGCAGCUUACUAAACUGCCACUGACAUUGAGGCUCGAAAGUGUGGGUAGCAAACAGGAUUAGAUACCCGGGUAGUC